UUCCGCCUUUUUUUGAGGAGCAAGUAGAAGAUGGAGGGGUUAGUGUGUAUGGCUUGUAUACAGCCGCUCAGUUUGUGGAAAAUGCAGAUGGCGUUAAAUGACAAAUAUGCGAGGACGCCUCCGUAAGUUGACCAGGCUUUGAUACUGCAGAGAUUUCUAUGUCUGUGAAACGGGUGGCGAGCAAUUGCGCUCGUGUCGGGUUCCGGCUCAGGCUUUGGAAUUGCUGUUAACAUGGCGGCUGUAAAAUGAAUACCACGGUCUUGCCAAAGGCAGUGAAAGGUGCCUGUGUUCAAGAUGCAAGCUGGACUGAAGAUUUUGAAAACAUGGCAGUAGUGCUGAACUUAAAAUCAAGCAGCUUUGUCAUUUGGACAUGUGUAGAUUGUAAUAGGUUUUAAUUUGCCUAAUUCAGCAAAUAUAAAGAUGAAUGUGAAGUGUUUACUGUAAUGUUUAAGGCCACAAAGUAGGUCAUUGGUUAAAAUUGUCAUGACUUUGUAAAGUUUUACAUGCUAUGUGAAACUUGUACUGUCUUGAAGCCUUUUUUUGCCCUUUUCACUAGUUUAGACUAUUGGUGUAGUCUUCCCCUGCCUUUAAGGUUCCCCCAAAACACUUUCAAAUGAUU